AAUCAGCCGGAAAUCGGGGCUAUUCUUGUUUAGGCUGAGGGGCUGGGUACCCAGGCAUCUUGUGGGUGUGGACUUAGAACAGGCCUGGCCUGAGCCACAUCUUGACUUCUAAAUCUGCUUUGUGCUCAACACCCGCACGCCAAGCUGCCUGGAAUAUCUGUCGUUUCUGGCUGUCCAUUUCCUUUCCCCACCCCAGACUCCCCUACCGUGGACCUUUCCCACCCAAACGGAAGGACACACAUCAUCCUGCAGUGGAUGCUAAGUCUCAGAUUCUUCAUCCGCAAAAUGGGAAUUAAAUCUACUGCAAAGGUUGUUGGAAGAGUUAAAAUGGGAUCAUGAAUGUAAAAUGCACGUCAUGAUAUAACACGAACAAAGAGAGCCCGGAGAAAAACAGAACCCUUUCCCUACAGCAGAGAACUGCACCAAUUUUAUUGAGCUCCUGUUCCAACUGGAGAGAGAAGCUUCCUUGAUUUAUGCGUCUGAUAAUAAAAGAGGUGCCAAUUACAAGACGUUUACUACUGUUGAUUAGUUCCGUGUUGCUGGAAACUAGGUCUGUCGAAAAGAUAAAACGACACCACAUCAUUUCCACGUGGCUUUGGUGCAUUCCUUUUUA
rnacentral:lncRNA from 10 species